rnacentral:rRNA from 1 species
UACGUAGGGUGCGAGCGUUGUCCGGAAUUAUUGGGCGUAAAGGGCUCGUAGGCGGUUUGUCGCGUCGGGAGUGAAAACACUGGGCUUAACUCAGUGCUUGCUUCCGAUACGGGCAGACUAGAGGUAUGCAGGGAAGAACGGAAUUCCUGGUGUAGCGGUGAAAUGCGCAGAUAUCAGGAGGAACACCGGUGGCGAAGGCGGUUCUCUGGGCAUUACCUGACGCUGAGGAGCGAAAGUGUGGGGAGCGAACAGG